GACGAACGCUGGCGGCGUGCCUAAUACAUGCAAGUCGAACGAACUCUGGUAAUGAUUGGUGCUUGCAUCAUGAAUUACAUUUGAGUGAGUGGCGAACUGGUGAGUAACACGUGGGAAACCUGCCCAGAAGCGGGGGAUAACACCUGGAAACAGAUGCUAAUACCGCAUAACAACUUGGACCGCAUGGUCCGAGUUUGAAAGAUGGCUUCGGCUGUCACUUUUGGAUGGUCCCGCGGCGUAUUAGCUAGAUGGUGAGGUAACGGCUCACCAUGGCAAUGAUACGUAGCCGACCUGAGAGGGUAAUCGGCCACAUUGGGACUGAGACACGGCCCAAACUCCUACGGGAGGCAGCAGUAGGGAAUCCUCCACAAUGGACGAAAGUCUGAUGGAGCAACGCCGCGUGAGUGAAGAAGGGUUUCGGCUCGUAAAACUCUGUUGUUAAAGAAGAACAUAUCUGAGAGUAACUGUUCAGGUAUUGACGGUAUUUAACCAGAAAGCCACGGCUAACUACGUGCCAGCCGCCGCGGUAA
rnacentral:rRNA from 1 species